rnacentral:other from 1 species
AAACACCUGCUGUGUACGUGAAUUUGAUUACGUUUUGAGCCAACACAUUUACAUUGGGAAUUCGGAGUUUAUUUAUUUGAAUAAAUGCCCUAUAUUGGGACUUAUGAGAUAAAUAACAGAAUACCCACCUGCAAGAGCAGGUUUCAAAACCUUCAAAUCACGGCAUGGCGGGUAUAUA